UUUAAUCUUUGAAAAUUAAUUAAGGAUUGUUUCCCUAAAUACAAUGAAUAAACUUAUUAAUUGGUUGCAAGAAUUGCACAAUUAUAUUAUUUUCAUUUUAUAAUAGGUUGGGAACUUUUCGUUCUGAUUUGGAGAAAUUUGUUACAAGAAAAGUUUCACAACCAAGACUAGCCGAAGAAAUAAAGAAAUUAAGAAAUCUAUUAUUUCCCAGAGAACAACAAUUCAAAAAAAUCAACGACUUUAAUUACAAGACUGAUAAUUAUAAUACAGCAAAAUUAACUGAUAA